AAGUCGUAACAAGGUUUCCGUAGGUGAACCUGCGGAAGGAUCAUUAUCACGUAUCCACGUACAAACCACUGCGAACUGUUCUCCCUUUUGAAGGUGUGGGUUUGGCUUGGUCACUAGUCUCUUCUGCGUCGUGAUAGAGGAGCGAUCUAUGCCGUGAACUCGAAAGGGUUCCGCCUGUGCUUUCAAGAGUGGUUAUUAUCACGCAAACCUUUACACUUAUUAACCCCUUUAACCUUUAUGAACUGAAAUUUAAGCUUGAUGUAAGGGUCGGCUCCUAACCGGGCAUGCACUCUGAUCAAGUCUUUUAUUACGAAACUAAGAACAAUUCUUAACAACGGAUAUCUUGGCUCUGAUAACGAUGAAGAACGCAGC
rnacentral:misc_RNA from 1 species